GAGUUUGGGCCCCACGGAUGUUCAGUACUCACCAGACAGAAGUGCGUUCUAAGACAAAGCCCCACAGUAGCAGAGCUGCUGGGGAUAAGAUCCAAAGCGAGUGGCAGGAGGUCAGGAGAAACGAAGAAGAAAGAAAAACCCCCGAAAGGAGGAGGUGAGGAAAAAGCAAGGUACUGCGAACAUUCUGCAGUUUCAGCAAAAGAGGGCGCUCGUGAGCUGCGGAAACCACCGCAUCUCAUAUUUAAAAAAAAAAAGCACAAUGUAAGAUUAAGAUCUGAUUCCAUAAAAAGAUGUCAGAAAUAAAAAGGAGGGAAUAACGAACAUAAUAGCAUUUCGGCAAACAAUUAAGGCAUGCCGGAAAUAACAUGUUUACAAAGUUGACGGAAAAUCCUCUCAAGAGCUGAGCGGAGCAGGCUGAGGAAUUCUUCAGUGCAUCUGUGGGAGGCAUCCUGAAGGAAACCGUGGCGUUUUUAAGAUCCUCUCCCCUCGGAAAAGCCAUCUGAGGUGUCAGGUGGGCAAGCCAUUUAGUUUCAAGGAGCUGACUGGAGCCUUAAUGACCAUCCAGGGCAGGAGGCAGGAUCUUGCGUGGAUAAUGGAGCCAAGAAUGUAAACGACGCCAGGAUACAAGAGCCAAGAGGAGUGCAACCAGGCCAGAACUCAAGCAGAAAACAGCAUAGAGAAGUGCUUUGAUCAAUGAUGAGCCACCAUCAGAGAAACUUCCUCCUGCAGCAGAUGGGAGCAAAUAGAGAGACCCACAGCCAGACACUAUGCAGACAACGAGAGACCUUGAGACACUCAGCCCUAAAUAGGUGUUUCCAUUAAAUCCCUCCCCCCAGGGCUCAUGGGACCCCUGCAGAAAAGGAGGCAGGAAGAAGUCCUCAGCUGAUCGAACAAUACCCAUGUACACUGGUGAGGGUGACCUUUGCCCAGUCUACAGACUCAACUUACGAUCUCUUCUGGAAACAACGUCGCUCAUGUACAAAAUUAAUGCCGUAUCAGCUAUUUGUGCGUGCCUUAGCUCAGUCAAGUUCACACACACUGUUAACUUUCACAUUACCUAGGAGAAAAAUGUAGUAUUUCUUAUUGUGUAUCAUUGCACACACAAAGACUCCUGAACGGCUGUCUUAAUUACUGUCCUAUUGCUGUGCAGAGAAGCCAUGGCCAAUGCAACUCUUAUAAAGGGGAACGUUUAAUUAGCA